GACGAACGCUGGCGGCGUGCCUAAUACAUGCAAGUCGAACGCAGUUGGGACGGGUGAGUAACACGUGGGUAACCUCCCAUCAGAGGGGAUAACACUUGGCAACAGGUGCUAAACCGAUACCGUUGGAUGGACCCGCGGUGCAUUAGCUAGUUGGUGAGGUAACGGCUCACCAAGGCCACGAUGCAUAGCCGACCUGAGAGUGUGACAGGUCACACUGUGACUGAGACACGGCCCAUACGCCUACGGGAGGCAGCAGUAGGGAAUCUUCUGCAAUGGACGAAAGUCUGACAGAGCAACGCCGCGUGAGUCAAGAAGGUUUUCGGAUCGUAAAACUCUGUUGUUAGAGAAGCGGUAUCUAACCAGAAAGCCACGUCUAACUACGGGCCAGCAGCCGCGGUAAUUC
rnacentral:rRNA from 1 species